rnacentral:rRNA from 1 species
AUUUUUACAAUGGGCGAAAGCCUGAUGGAGCGACGCCGCGUGGGGGAUGAAUGGCUUCGGCCCGUAAACCCCUGUCAUUCGGGAUCAAAUUUAAUAACCUAACACGUUAUUAACUGAUAGUACCGAAAGAGGAAGGGACGGCUAACUCUGUGCCAGCAGCCGCGGUAAUACAGAGGUCCCAAGCGUUGUUCGGAUUUACUGGGCGUAAAGGGAGCGUAGGUGGUGGGCCAAGUCUAAUGUGAAAGCUCUGAGCUCAACUCAGAAAUGGCAUUAGAUACUAGUCUGCUUGAGGAUUGGAGGGGAGACUGGAAUUCUCGGUGUAGCAGUGAAAUGCGUAGAUAUCGAGAGGAACACCAGUGGCGAAGGCGAGUCUCUAGACAAUUCCUGACACUGAUGCUCGAAAGCUAGGGGAGCAAACGGGAUUAGAUACCCCGGUAGUCCUAGCUGUAAACGGUGCACGCUUGCCGUAGGUGGAAUCGACCCCGCCUGUGGCGAAGCUAACGCGUUAAGCGUGCCGCCUGGGAAGUACGGUCGCAAGAUUAAAACUCAAAGAAAUUGACGGGGGCCUGCACAAGCGGUGGAGUAUGUGGCUUAAUUCGAUGCAACGCGAAGAACCUUACCUGGCCUUGACAUGCAAGUAGUA